rnacentral:rRNA from 1 species
GGGUUGUGAGGUUAAGCGACUAAGCGUACACGGUGGAUGCCCUGGCAGUCAGAGGCGAUGAAGGGCGUGCUAAUCUGCGAUAAGCGCCGGUAAGGUGAUAUGAACCGUUAUAACCGGCGAUACCCGAAUGGGGAAACCCAGUGUGAUUCGUCACACUAUCAUUAACUGAAUCCAUAGGUUAAUGAGGCGAACCGGGGGAACUGAAACAUCUAAGUACCCCGAGGAAAAGAAAUCAACCGAGAUUCCCCCAGUAGCGGCGAGCGAACGGGGAGGAGCCCAGAGCCUGAAUCAGCAUGUGUGUUAGUGGAAGCGUCUGGAAAGGCGCGCGAUACAGGGUGACAGCCCCGUACACAAAAGCGCAUGUGCUGUGAGCUCGAUGAGUAGGGCGGGACACGUGGUAUCCUGUCUGAAUAUGGGGGGACCAUCCUCCAAGGCUAAAUACUCCUGACUGACCGAUAGUGAACCAGUACCGUGAGGGAAAGGCGAAAAGAACCCCGGCGAGGGGAGUGAAAAAGAACCUGAAACCGUGUACGUACAAGCAGUGGGAGCACCCUUUGGGUGUGACUGCGUACCUUUUGUAUAAUGGGUCAGCGACUUAUAUUCUGUAGCAAGGUUAACCGAAUAGGGGAGCCGGAGGGAAACCGAGUCUUAAUUGGGCGUUAAGUUGCAGGGUAUAGACCCGAAACCCGGUGAUCUAGCCAUGGGCAGGUUGAAGG